rnacentral:rRNA from 1 species
CAAUAGCGUAUAUUAAAGUUGUUGCAGUUAAAAAGCUCGUAGUUGGAUUUCUGGUGGGAGUGUUUGGCCGGCUCAAUGAGUCUUGUGCCUAUAUGCUUCUGCCAUCCUUGGGGAAAACUUGCUUGGCAUUAGGUUGUCGAGUUUGGGAUCCCCAUCGUUUACUGUGAAAAAUUAGAGUGUUCAAAGCAGGCUUAUGCCGUUGAAUACAUUAGCAUGGAAUAAUAAGAUAGGACCUUGGUACUAUUUUGUUGGUUUGCGUACCUAGGUAAUGAUUAAUAGGGACAGUUGGGGGUAUUCGUAUUCAAUUGUCAGAGGUGAAAUUCUUGGAUUUAUGGAAGACGAACUACUGCGAAAGCAUUUACCAAGGAUGUUUUCAUUAAUCAAGAACGAAAGUUAGGGGAUCGAAGAUGAUCAGAUACCAU